rnacentral:rRNA from 1 species
AUUGAACGCUGGCGGCAUGCCUUACACAUGCAAGUCGAACGGCAGCACGGAUGCUUGCACCUGGUGGCGAGUGGCGAACGGGUGAGUAAUACAUCGGAACGUACCUUAUCGUGGGGGAUAACGCAGCGAAAGCUGUGCUAAUACCGCAUACGCCCUGAGGGGGAAAGCGGGGGAUCGAAAGACCUCGCGCGAUUAGAGCGGCCGAUGCCUGAUUAGCUUGUUGGUGGGGUAAAAGCCCACCAAGGCGACGAUCAGUAGCUGGUCUGAGAGGACGAUCAGCCACACUGGGACUAAGACACGGCCCAGACUCCUACGGGAGGCAGCAGUGGGGAAUUUUGGACAAUGGGGGCAACCCUGAUCCAGCAAUGCCGCGUGAGUGAAGAAGGCCUUCGGGUUGUAAAGCUCUUUUGUCAGGGAAGAAACACCGGCUCUAACACAGUCCGGGAAUGACGGUACCUGAAGAAUAAGCACCGGCUAACUACGUGCCAGCCGCCGCUGUAA